AUUCGGCCGUCCCCGCUCUGAGAGGGAGGGACGGAGAGCGAACUGUCAGAUCCCAGCGAGAGCGGGCGCCCGAGAGGGAGAGUGAAAUAGAGAGAGAGAGAGAGAGAGAGAGAGAGAGAGAGGGAGAGAGAGGGAGGGAAAGGGAGACGGGCAGGAGGAGAGAACCCGGCGCGGAGCUAGCCCCGGCUGCGCCUCUGCCUCGGCACGCCCGCGCCCGCCGCCGGGCUACCCAGGAGCGCCGCGACGUGCCCGCCAGAGUCGCUAGUGUAUCAAGGAUCCCCCGUUUGCACACACACGUCUCCACCUCCACCAAUGCACUCUUCUUCCUCCUCCUUCUCCAGACAACCGCGGGGGAAAAAUAAAAGCUCAACCCCAACCAUCAGCAACAAGGAAAGAUGUCGCACCAGACUGUGAGUGUUGCGAGGAAAACGAAAAGGGACUCUUGUUUCAGAGCCACCCGAGAGCCCCAGCAAUAGCGACUUCAGAGACAUGCACCAUCGCCAGAAGUUUUCCUAGGACAGAAAAAGAAAAGGAAAGAAAAGCCAAACCAAAAA